GACGAACGCUGGCGGCGUGCUUAACACAUGCAAGUCGAACGGACAUGCCCUGCUUUUGUGGGGUGCUCGAGUGGCGAACGGGUGAGUAACACGUACGUAACUUGCCUUUGCCUUUGUGAUAACUUCCGGUAACUGGGGCUUAUUCCUGCUAGGAGCUCCUUCUGCUUGGUGUGGGUUGUAAAGUUUCGGCGGUUGGGUAUUGACACGUGGCUUAUCAGCUUGUUGGUGGGGUAGUGGCUUACCAAGGCUUUGACGGGUAGCCGGCCUGAGAGGGUGACCGGCGACAUUGGGACUGAGAUACGGCACAGACUCGUAGGGGAGGAAGCAGUAGGGAAUAUUGAAGAAUGGGCGAAAGCCGGAGGGAGAAACGCCGAGGGCGGGAUGACGGACUUCGGGUUGGAAACCGCUUUAGCCUGUGACGAAGCGUGAGUGACGGUAAUGGGUAAAGAAGCACCGGCUAACUACGUG
rnacentral:rRNA from 1 species